CAGUCGCCGCGGUAAUACGUAGGGUGCAAGCGUUAUCCGGAAUUAUUGGGCGUAAAGAGCUCGUAGGCGGUUUGUCGCGUCUGCUGUGAAAACUGGAGGCUCAACCUCCAGCCUGUAGUGGGUACGGGCAGACUAGAGUGCGGUAGGGGAGAUUGGAAUUCCUGGUGUAGCGGUGGAAUGCGCAGAUAUCAGGAGGAACACCGAUGGCGAAGGCAGAUCUCUGGGCCGUAACUGACGCUGAGGAGCGAAAGCAUGGGGAGCGAACAGGAUUAGAUACCCCCGUAGUCCCUGUCUCUUAUAC
rnacentral:rRNA from 1 species